ensembl:rRNA 5S_rRNA 5S ribosomal RNA
GUCUACAGCCAUACCACCCCCAACACGCCCAAUCUCGACUGAUCUCGGGAAGCUAAGCAGGGUCGUGCCUGGUUAGUACUUGGAUGGGAGAAAGUUACAGUCCAGAGUGUGUCC